UCAGCUCGUGUCGUGAGAUGUUGGGUUAAGUCCCGCAACGAGCGCAACCCUCGCCUCUAGUUGCCAGCAUCGGUUGGGCACUCUAGAGGGACUGCCGGCGACAAGUCGGAGGAAGGUGGGGAUGACGUCAAAUCAUCAUGCCCCUUAUGACCUGGGCUACACACGUGCUACAAUGGGCGGUACAAAGGGUCGCGAACCCGCGAGGGGGAGCCAAUCCCAAAAAGCCGCUCUCAGUUCGGAUUGCAGGCUGCAACUCGCCUGCAUGAAGCCGGAAUCGCUAGUAAUCGCGGAUCAGCAUGCCGCGGUGAAUACGUUCCCGGGCCUU
rnacentral:rRNA from 1 species